rnacentral:rRNA from 1 species
GACGAACGCUGGCGGCGUGCUUAACACAUGCAAGUCGAACGGAAAGGCCCUGCUUUUGUGGGGUGCUCGAGUGGCGAACGGGUGAGUAACACGUGAGUAACCUGCCCUUGACUUUGGGAUAACUUCAGGAAACUGGGGCUAAUACCGGAUAGGAGCUCCGGCUGCAUGGUGGGGGUUGGAAAGUUUCGGCGGGUGGGGAUGGACUCGCGGCUUAUCAGCUUGUUGGUGGGGUAGUGGCUUACCAAGGCUUUGACGGGUAGCCGGCCUGAGAGGGUGACCGGCCACAUUGGGACUGAGAUACGGCCCAGACUCCUACGGGAGGCAGCAGUGGGGAAUAUUGCACAAUGGGCGGAAGCCUGAUGCAGCAACGCCGCGUGCGGGAUGACGGCCUUCGGGUUGUAAACCGCUUUCGCCUGUGACGAAGCGUGAGUGACGGUAAUGGGUAAAGAAGCACCGGCUAACUACGUG